rnacentral:rRNA from 1 species
UGGGGAAUUUUGGACAAUGGGGGCAACCCUGAUCCAGCAAUGCCGCGUGAGUGAAGAAGGCCUUCGGGUUGUAAAGCUCUUUCGGCGGGGACGAAACGGUUCGUGACAACACCACGGACUAAUGACGGUACCCGCAUAAGAAGCACCGGCUAACUACGUGCCAGCAGCCGCGGUAAUACGUAGGGUGCAGGCGUUAAUCGGAAUUACUGGGCGUAAAGCGUGCGCAGGCGGUUUGUUAAGACAGGUGUGAAAUCCCCGGGCUUAACCUGGGAAUUGCGCUUGUAACUGGCAGGCUAGAGUGUGGCAGAGGGGGGUGGAAUUCCACGUGUAGCAGUGAAAUGCGUAGAUAUGUGGAGGAACACCGAUGGCGAAGGCAGCCCCCUGGGUUAACACUGACGCUCAUGCACGAAAGCGUGGGGAGCAAACAGGAUUAGAUACCCCGGUAGUCCCUGAGCGGGCUGGCAAGGCGCAU